rnacentral:rRNA from 1 species
GGUAGUGUAUUGGACUACCAUGGCGAUAACGGGUAACGGGGAAUUAGGGUUCGAUUCCGGAGAGGGAGCCUGAGAAACGGCUACCACUUCUAAGGAAGGCAGCAGGCGCGUAAAUUACCCAAUCCUGAUUCAGGGAGGCAGUGACAAGAAAUAACAACCCGGGGACUCUGUCUUUCGGGAUUGCAAUGAGGACAAUCUAACGACCUUACCGAGGAACAAUUGGAGGGCAAGUCUGGUGCCAGCAGCCGCGGUAAUUCCAGCUCCAAUAGCGUAUAUUAAAGUUGUUGCAGUUAAAAAGCUCGUAGUUGGAUUUCAAGGGUUCAGCUCGGAACUUUUCGGGUUGUUCUCUUUCAGUCGAAAGACUGUUACUGUGAGAAAAUUAGAGUGUUUCAAGCAGGCGUAAGUUGGAAUACAUUAGCAUGGAAUAACGAAUGUGUUUAGAAUCUUGGUUAAUUCUAGACGUCGAUUAAUGGGGACAGUUGGGGGCAUUAGUAUUUAACUGUCAGAGGUGAAAUUCUUGGAUUUGUUAAAGACUAACGUAUGCGAAAGCAUUUGCCAAGGAUGUUUUCA